UACGUAGGGUGCGAGCGUUAAUCGGAAUUACUGGGCGUAAAGCGUGCGCAGGCGGUUUUGUAAGCCAGAUGUGAAAGCCCCGGGCUUAACCUGGGAACUGCAUUUGUGACUGGCAGGCUAGAGUAUGGCAGAGGGGGGUAGAAUUCCACGUGUAGCAGUGAAAUGCGUAGAGAUGUGGAGGAAUACCGAUGGCGAAGGCAGCCCCCUGGGCCAAUACUGACGCUCAUGCACGAAAGCGUGGGGAGCAAACAGG
rnacentral:rRNA from 1 species